rnacentral:tRNA from 1 species
GCCUGGGUGGCUUAGUCGGUUGAGCGUCCGACUUCGGCUCAGGUCAUGGUAUCACGGUCUGUGGGUUCAAGCCCCGCGUUGGGCU